GACGAACGCUGGCGGCGUGCUUAACACAUGCAAGUCGAACGGACAGGCCCUGCUUUUGUGGGGUGGUCGAGUGGAGAAGGGGUGAGUUGCACGUGAGUAACCUGCCCUUGACUUUGGGAUAAGUUAAGGAAACUGGGGCUAAUACCGGAUAGGAGCUCCUGCUGCUUGGGGGGGGUUGGACAGUUUCGGCGGUUGGGGUUGGUAUCGCGGCACAUCAGCUUGUUAGUUGGGUUGGGGCUUACCAAGGCUUUGACGGGUAGGCGGCCUGAGAGGGUGACCGGCCCCGUUGCGACUGAGAUGCGGCCCAGACUCCUACGGUACGGAGCAGUGGGGAAGAGUGUCCAGCGGGCGGGGCGCUGAUGCGACAACGCCGUGUGGGGUAUGACGGCCUUCGGUUUGUAAACCACUUUUGCCUGAGACGAGGCGUGAGUGACGGUAACGGGUGAAGAAGCACCGGCUAACUACGUG
rnacentral:rRNA from 1 species